rnacentral:lncRNA from 1 species
AGUAUUUUUCGAUUGUAUAUCAAGUAGGAUCAAAGCAUAUGCAUCGGGGUCAAUGUACUCCUUAUUUAAAAGAAGAAGAUUUCUUAAAAUAAUAUUAUGAUUAUGAAAAAAAAUAAAGUAAGAGAAAGCAACCCCACGAACAGCCAAUAAGAUGAUGCACGACACGUAGCCUAGUGUUUGCUUCCUGAAAAUGCAAAUCUCCUUUCUUUUUAUUAUUAUUAUUAUUAUAUUAUAUUUUCUGAAAGCAAAACAAGAAAACAAAACAACAUUUUUAUUGUGGGGUGUACGGAUGGAGCAAUGGGGAUCAGCACACUUGAUAAACCCGCUUGCAUUGCAGGGUCGCACAUGGCACCAUCUUCUCUCUCUGAUAUUCUGUGCUUAACUUUUGUGAUCGUGCGUACGAGUACGUGUUCUAUUUCUUCUUGAAACCCAUUCAUUGUACACGUGUACGGUGAUGGGGCUGGUCCACCACGGUCCCCCAUCAUGAUUCAUGAACACGACUGCGUGUAGUCAUGGCACCUUAUUUGACAAACACAUUUAAUUAAGUACUUUCUGAAACCAUAGGUACCGAUAAUCUUUUCCCCGUUCAAACCAAACCAAAACUGGAGCCACCGGGAAUUAGAUCUAGUAGAAACGUACCUCAAACAAAACUGUUUCUCAAAAAGAAAACAUGUGAAAAACCAAAAAAUCAAAACAGUAGAAAUAACGGGUAGUCCAGUUU